UUAUGAACUCUGUGGAGGUCUUAAUAAGUACUGAUGAUGCCAGCACAGGGGUGGUGAUGACAGGUGGCCAUAGUAGGAGCUCAGGGGCCAGCCUGGGGCUACCCCAAAGGAAACCUCUCAUUGCUGAGCCCAGAGACAGUAGUGGUGGUCUAUGACAGGAAGCAAUGGUUGGGAAGUAGGGGAGAACCAAAUCGCUCCCUACCCAUGCCAGCCAAAACACUGGCCCUUCUGAGGUCCAGCUUCUUCAGCCCUCCCUGCUCAUGUCCAGCUGGAGGCCUGGGGAUCCCAGGCCAGGCCAGGCUGGGGGCACAGGCUGGGACCACUUUUCUCCCAGCUAGGAUCCAGAACGAGGGCUUUCUUCCCAGAGUCAGGAUGGGUGAGCCUUCCUCACAUAGGUGUCCCUGACCGAAAAAAGGAAUUGUGACUUCGGUCCUGGAGAGGGUGGAGAGGGAAGGCUGCAGCCCAAGAAAGCACUCCUGGAGGAGAGGGUAGGAGGAGCAAGUGUCCAAGUGAGUAUGGCAUCAGGGCCACUGAAGGGCCCCAGGCAGCUCAGCACUGGGCAGGGAGGACAUGGGGACAACAAGGCUUCAGAGGCCAACGGCCAGAGGGCGCCCACAUCAUGCCUAGUCAGGGUGGACCCCCUGUCUACAGACCUGAAAUCUGCCCAUGGUGAAGAGAUUCCAGCUAUCAGAAGGUCCCAGCACUGAGCGCUGCAUCCAGGAGCCCGGCCAUUUGCAGGAAGUGUGGAUUAGACGGAGGAGUCUCUGCUUUUGGUCUCAGCUUAACCUGCUUUCACAGCUUCCAGUCUUCGUGAGGGUCUGAAGACCUGGGCCCCCUAAGGUCCUUCUGGGUUUGGACCAUGCCCUGGGGCUAGAUUGUGGCCUCAUCCCUCUAUACUCCAGUGUAAAAUUAGCACUGCUCACUCGUGCCCUCCUCCUCCCCAAAGCCCCUGGGGGAGACAUCCCCCCGCUUCGUCUCCCAGAAACACAUAUGAGAAGGGUGCAGCCCCAAAGCCAAGCUGCCGUUCCUCAGGAGCUUUCUGAGGCCUGAAGGACCUAGAGCCAGUCCCCGUAACCUGGUAUGAAGAAACCCCACAGAGUCUACCACUCCUCCCCAUACCAAGCCCUGGUCUGGGGCCCACAGUUGCUCCCCUCUCACAGCCCUCUGACUCCAGCCUGACUCAGCCUCCGGCCCUGCCCCCAGCCUGCCUUCGCUCCAGAGCCAGCUGGAGCGCAUGCCGCAAGGUCUCCACAUUGUUCAGAACAUUGUAUCGACUCAGAGCCACCAGCCGCUCAAACUCCUCAGGCUCAUAGGUGAAGUUCAUCAUGCCAUAUGGAGUGUCUGCCCCAUUGACCACAAAGUCCCCGUAGGCCUUCUCCUCGGCUGUUUGUCGCUCCACACCUACAGGAGGAACCGGGCCAGUGUCGAUCCUGAGGCCUGGAAGGUGUGGAGCAGUGGCCAACCUGGGCCCUCCAAGAGGCAAGGGGUCCAGGAAAUCCACUGUCAGAACGGCACCCCACCACCACCCUGGGCUGUGUGAGCCAGACCCCGGCCCAGGGCCUCCCCUCACCUGGGGCCAGGUGUGUGCAGAAGGUACGGUUGACGAGGGGAAAGUGCAGCACGAUGGGAGAGCGGGGGUCCUUGGCCUUGGCGAACAGGUAGCACUCACGGGGUUCCUCCAAGUCCUCGGGGAGCACCUCGAUACUUGGGAAGGGGAUGCCUCGGUCCAGGCAGUACUUCUCUGUCAUCUGUAAGACCUGGGCAGGGAGGCCAGCUUUGGACCCUGCCUCCGGCUGCCUGCACUCACAUAGCCCGCCCACUAGCUGAGUGACUGCAGGUGGGCUACAUCACCUUCCCCAGCCAAUGUCUUUAUUUACAUAAUAAAAAAGAGAAUAACUCUAGUGGGGGGUUGUGGAGAUUAAGGACAAUCAUUAGUGUUCCCAGUGUCAUUCCUCUCCUUCCCUUCUCUGGCUCCUCCCUGCUUCCUCUUAGGGGCUGAUUUCAAUGUCACCAGGUGGAAACUGAAUGGUUACAGAAGGGCACGUGGGAAGAGGCUUUAUUCAUCAUCUAAUCCCAGGCUUUCCUUGGACCCAGGAGGAUUAGGAGGAGGAAGCCAGAGAUAGAAGGGCUGGUCCAGCAGCGGGACCAGAAAGCUCAUCCAGAUGAUGGAACCCAUCGGCUACCCCACAGGGUUUGAGGGAGCUGCCCCUAGAGACUCCCCGAGGGGACCUGAUGGUAACUAACGGAGGGCAGACCCAGACGCCAGUCCAGAUGGGAGCAAAGAAUGCUAUCAGGACAGUCAGGGGCCAGAACAGGAGCCUUCUCUUCACCAGUAUGGGAGACUUCUGAGGACCUUCUUUGGCCUCUUCUCCCACCUCCCCCUCCAUCUCAUAGCCUCAGCAAUCCCCCUCCUUCAGCUGGGGAGACCAGUGCCACUAAAAGCCUUCACAAGGUACUUGCCCUUGGAUUAGAACCCAGGCCCUCCAUGAAGGGCAAUUCCCAAAGCCCAGCCAGGCUGCCCUGCAGAGAACCUCAGUUCCUCCCCACCACACACCUUACCUCGAAAGGGGCCUCCAGGGAGUAGUCAAAGGACAGAAUGAGGUCCACCGCUCUCUGGGGCAGCAGGCUGAGUGGGAACGGAGAGUUGAUGGCAAAGCCCCCAUCCACCAGGCACAGGCAGUCCCGCAUGGGAGUGAGCUGGUUGGGGAAAGCAUCAGGGUGCGUAUCUGCAAUAGGGACAAAUGCUCACUCUUCUCUCUCUGUAGAGAUCUCUCCUCCCCUUCUUCUGAUGGCAACAGAGUCUCCCACCCCAGCCCCUGGCCCUGCCUCCUGGCAGACAUCCCAGUCCUUCCCCAUCAGCCCCUGGGCAGCAGGAGCCCACAGCCCAACCUCCGGGAACAAAGGCAGUGCUGGUCCAGGUGAGCCGUGAGCCGGAGGCAAAGGCAGCGGGGGGACCCCCAGCCAGAGCAGCACCCACCUUUCCAGGCCAUGAACUCCCGGCCAGCCACAUAGUCUUUGUGCAGGCAGAGGCCCCUGGUGAAAUUACAGUUCUCCGCGAAGGUAAAGCGGGAGGUGAAGAUGUCCAGCACGGCCUGGGAGAAGGGCCCCUGGCGGGUGAAGAGCCUGGUCCUCAGACGUGUGGGAUCGUGCAGCUGGAGCUUCUGACAGUCAUCUAGAUGGGAGCGCGUGGGUGAAAUACAGUCAGAAGGGUGCUGUCUGUUCUCCAGUGGCCCUUAUGGCCCAGGGGACCCUUCCUAUCUCCCCCCACAUUCACCCCUCCUUCACCCCACUUCCCAAGCCUCAGACCACUGCUUCCCAGAACCUCUUUUAAAUGACCUUUUCUUUCAGCGUCCCUGUAUUUGAAAGUUGCCUAUGACAGUGUAUUUAUUAAGUGAUAAUUUAUAUGCCCUUUGAAAAUAAAGUUGUGUAUGGGGCGCCU